GUUUUUGUGGUGUAAAUAGCACGAGAGGUUUUCAAUUUCUAGGUAUAAAUAUUAUUAGUUAUCAGAAAUA
rnacentral:tRNA from 1 species